GUUAAAUUUGAUAGUUAAGAACAAACGAAGACUCGAGUAGGCAUAUUGCGCACUGUCUAGUAAAAUAGACGUGACCUUUUGCUCCGAACUCCAUUUGGGAUAUAUAAUUUAUGUUUAAAUCGCGACCGAGGACCUGGACGCGGACUGAGGCAGUGCACUGGUAAAAUAUCGCGCCCGAACCGCGACCGUGAGCGUCCAGACCUGAAAAAUUAUCCUUUUUCGCGUAGAAGAAGGUAUAAUUGUUUGGGCCCGACCCUACUUGGUAUAUAUACAUGGAAAAACGAUAUUUUAAGAGGUAGGACAUAGUUUUGACACAGAUUCGACCUAAGGAGGUAGAGACACAAUAGGAGCAAGGCUGAGAAUUUUUCUACAAGUUUUUCCUUCCUUUUCCUAUUGUUGGUUAUGACUCUUAGUAUUGUAGUCUUAUAUACUAUUAUGAAUAUCUAAUUUGUUAUCUAGGAUUUUGA